GACGAACGCUGGCGGCGCGCUUAACACAUGCAAGUCGAACGGAAAGGCCUGCUUUCCCUUGUGGAUUGCGGGUACUCGAGUGGCGAACGGGUGAGUAACACGUGAGUGAUCUGCCCCCAACUUGGGUAUAAGCCUGGGAAACUGGGUCUAAUUCCCGAUAGGACUGCAGGGUGGUGCCUGUGGUGGAAAACGAUUUUCUAGUGGUUGGGGAUGAGCUCGCGGCCUAUCAGCUUGUUGGUGGGGUAAUGGCCUACCAAGGCGGCGACGGGUAGCCGGCCUGAGAGGGUGGACGGGAACAGUGGAACGGAGAUACGGCCCAGACGCCUACGGGAGGCAGCAGAGGGGAGUAUUGCGCGAUGAGCGGAAGCCUGAGGCAGCGACGCCGCGUGGGGGAUGACGGGCUUCGGGUUGUAAACUCCUUUCGACCGCGAGGAAGCCACCUGGUUGGAAGGGUGGUGACGGUAGUGGUAGAAGAAGCACCGGCUAACUACGUG
rnacentral:rRNA from 1 species